AUCCCAUCGAGACCGGCUGAGGGGGUAGGCCCAAUGACGCCGGGGCAACCCAUGCACGAGCAAUCGCGCAUGAAGGUGCCAAUUCCUGCGGGGACUUCGUGUCCGCCGAGAGAUGGGUC
rnacentral:ncRNA from 2 species